rnacentral:tRNA from 1 species
GGUCCCAUAGCUCAGUUGGUUAGAGCGUCGUACUAAUACUGAUCGUGAUCCGACGAUAGUAUCUAGUCCAUGCGAAGGCCGGCGGUUCGAGCCCGCCUGGGACCA